GGGGGGAGCAAGCGUUGUUCGGAAUCACUGGGCGUAAAGGGCGUGUAGGCGGUUUGGUAAGUGGGAUGUGAAAUGCCCCGGCUCACCCGGGGACCGGCAUCCCAAACUGCCAAGCUUGAGUAUGGGAGAGGAUGUGGGAAUUCCUGGUGUAGCGGUGAAAUGCGUAGAUAUCAGGAGGAACACCGGUGGCGAAGGCGCACAUCUGGCCCAAUACUGACGCUGAGGCGCGAAAGCUAGGGGAGCAAACGGGAUUAGAUACCCCGGUAGUCCUAGCCGUAAACGGUGAUCACUAGGUGUUGGAGGCAUCGACCCCUCCAGUGCCGCAGCUAACGCAUUAAGUGAUCCGCCUGGGGAGUACGGCCGCAAGGUUG
rnacentral:rRNA from 1 species